rnacentral:rRNA from 1 species
UACGUAGGGGGCAAGCGUUGUCCGGAUUUAUUGGGCGUAAAGAGCGUGUAGGCGGUUUGGUAGGUCCGCUGUGAAAACUCGAGGCUCAACCUCGAGACGCCGGUGGAAACCAUCAGACUAGAGUCCGGAAGAGGAGAGUGGAAUUCCUGGUGUAGCGGUGAAAUGCGCAGAUAUCAGGAGGAACACCUGUGGCGAAAGCGGCUCACUGGACCAUAACUGACGCUGAUGCACGAAAGCGUGGGGAGCAAACAGG